GAUGAACGCUGGCGGCGUGCCUAAUACAUGCAAGUCGAGCGAACAGACGAGGAGCUUGCUCCUCUGACGUUAGCGGCGGACGGGUGAGUAACACGUGGAUAACCUACCUAUAAGACUGGGAUAACUUCGGGAAACCGGAGCUAAUACCGGAUAAUAUAUUGAACCGCAUGGUUCAAUAGUGAAAGACGGUUUUGCUGUCACUUAUAGAUGGAUCCGCGCCGCAUUAGCUAGUUGGUAAGGUAACGGCUUACCAAGGCAACGAUGCGUAGCCGACCUGAGAGGGUGAUCGGCCACACUGGAACUGAGACACGGUCCCGACUCCUACGGGAGGCAGCAGUAGGGAAUCUUCCGGAAUGGGCGAAAGCCUGACGGAGCAACGCCGCGUGAGUGAUGAAGGUCUUCGGAUCGUAAAACUCUGUUAUUAGGGAAGAACAAAUGUGUAAGUAACUAUGCACGUCUUGACGGUACCUAAUCAGAAAGCCACGGCUAACUACGUG
rnacentral:rRNA from 1 species